CCAGCUUGCAGCCAAGCACCCACACAGCCCCUCACUGCGCUCCCCCACCCCUAGCAGGGUGGGCUGAGAAAAUAGAAAAAACAGGGACAAGAAAACUUGUUGGUCCGAAUAAAGACAGGGAAAUCACUCAUCAACUGUUGUCAUGGGCAAAGUAGACUUGACUUUGGAAAUUUAACUUAAUUUAUUGCCAAUUAAAACAGUCAGCAUGAAUUCUUUUCUCCAUGCAUCUAACUGAGACAUGUGGCUACUGCUUUUUGUUGUUUCACUGUGCAUCUCUGAGAAAAGUCUGUCUGUUUUCACUAAAACACCCAUUAGGUAGUUGAGGACAGCAAUGAGAUCCCCCCUCAGCCUUCUCUUGAAGCUGAACAGGCACUGCUCUUGCUGCCUCUCCCUGUGCGUCAGGCACUGCGGCCUGUACCUAUUUUUGCUGGGCCCACUGCCAGCAUUGCCAAUGUCUUAACUACCAGGAAUCCCCACUUGGGUGCAUUACUUCAGGUGCUAUCUUACAAGUGACAAAUAGCAGAGGAUAAUUAGUUCCCUCACUUGUUGGCUACACUAUUAAGGCAUAGUUAUUUUAUUACCACUUAUUGCUGGAAGGGCACACUGCUCAUUUCGAUUUACCUUCUUGUCCACCAGGAUCCCAAGUCUUUUACUGCAGAGCUGCUUUCUAGCCAACUGACCCGCCGGGCUGUACUACCGCAUGAGAUAUUCCUCUCCAGGUUCAGCUUUUCUCUUCAUUCAUGAGGAGAAGGAAAAGAGAAGAAGCUUUAAGAGCAAUGCUUUGUGUCUGAAGGAUACCCGUGACAUCCUGGCUUUUGCUAAGAUCAUUUAGGGGGAUUACAUGAGAUAUUUCCAGUGGAGCAUUCAGUGGAGACCUGUCAUUACUCAUUGACUUUUUGACUCUGAAACAUUAACUGCCAGGUAAAUGCAAUAUUUCAGCUUACACAGAAUGGUCCAAGUGUGGAAUGAGGAGACUAAAUGCCAGGAUCUCCUGAACACACACUUUUCCCGGCUGGGUGUUGAAGGGAACAAUUAAUGCGUGAUGCUUGCCUGGAAGAGGAAAAAAUGCCUUCUGUGCCAAGUCCGAUGUUUCCCAUGAUUGGAAUGUUCUUGUUAAAUGCAUUCCUUUAGCACCUCUUAUUUUGGCUUUAAGAAGUUAAUGUC
rnacentral:lncRNA from 1 species